rnacentral:rRNA from 1 species
UACACAUGCAAGUCGAACGGCAGCACGGGGCAACCUGGUGGCGAGUGGCGAACGGGUGAGUAAUAUAUCGGAACGUGCCCAAUCGUGGGGGAUAACGUAGCGAAAGUUACGCUAAUACCGCAUACGAUCUACGGAUGAAAGCGGGGGAUCGCAAGACCUCGCGCGACUGGAGCGGCCGAUAUCAGAUUAGGUAGUUGGUGGGGUAAAGGCUCACCAAGCCAACGAUCUGUAGCUGGUCUGAGAGGACGACCAGCCACACUGGAACUGAGACACGGUCCAGACUCCUACGGGAGGCAGCAGUGGGGAAUUUUGGACAAUGGGCGAAAGCCUGAUCCAGCCAUUCCGCGUGCAGGAUGAAGGCCUUCGGGUUGUAAACUGCUUUUGUACGGAACGAAACGGUCCUUUCUAAUACAAGGGGCUAAUGACGGUACCGUAAGAAUAAGCACCGGCUAACUACGUGCCAGCAGCCGCGGUAAUACGUAGGGUGCAAGCGUUAAUCGGAAUUACUGGGCGUAAAGCGUGCGCAGGCGGUUAUAUAAGACAGAUGUGAAAUCCCCGGGCUCAACCUGGGAACUGCAUUUG